UGUAUUGACCAAAAAAGUUCCAGCUAAUACUCCUAUAGAUUUUCUUGGAUACGUGGUUGUGUCUUAUCCUAUUGAGGAUGUGGAUAAAAAGGAUGGCACUAAAACCAAACGAAUGAACCUAACUCUCAAAGAUCUCCAUGAUACCAAGAUUAGUCUUACAUUAUGGGAAAACUAUGCAAUCGAGAUGUCCGAUUACAUGAAUGGUAAGGACCGCGAAGAUCAUGUGGUUCUUCUUGUGCAUUUUGGCACGGUAAACAUCU